GCUGGGUGCAAUGGCACACACCUGUAAUCCCAGUGGCUUGGGAGGCUGAGGCAAGAGGAUCGUGAGUUCAAAGCCAGCCUCAGCAAAAGGGAGGUGCUAAGCCACUCUUGAGACCCUGUCUUUA
rnacentral:sRNA from 1 species